GAACAAGUGUGUAGGUCAGUUGGUGCUGUCCUCGGCUGCAGUGGCUGGCGGCAUUCGCGUAAGUUUUAGAUGUCAGGGUUAAAAGUCCCUGAAGUUAUGGAAGGAAGAGACUCGAUCGAAUGCUGGUGGUUGGAACUCUUGGGACGCAAAUAUCAAUGCUUUCUAAAGUUGGAUCUUCCACAUCUUCAUUGGUCGUCUUCGCUUCUUUUUGCCCUUCAAUUGAAACUCCAAUGCCUCCAUCAUCACUCCUC